rnacentral:rRNA from 1 species
GACCCGUCUUGAAACACGGACCAAGGAGUCUAACACGUGCGCGAGUCUCAGGGUCGUACGAAACCCGUUGGACGCAAUGAAAGUAAAAAUGGUCUUUACGGACUGUUUAGGUGAGAUCCCGGAACCGGCGACGGUAACGGGCGCACCACCGGCCCGUUUCAGCUGCUACGUCAGCGGGGCGGAGCAAGAGUGUACGCGUUGGGACCCGAAAGAUGGUGAACUAUGCCUGAGCAGGGUGAAGCCAGAGGAAACUCUGGUGGAGGCCCGAAGCGGUUCUGACGUGCAAAUCGAUCGUGUGACUUGGGUAUAGGGGCGAAAGACUAAUCGAACCAUCUAGUAGCUGGUUCCCGCCGAAGUUUCCCUCAGGAUAGCUGGCGCUCAUGUCGAAGUAGUUUUAUCCGGUAAAGCGAAUGAUUAGAGGAAUUGGGGACGAAAUGGCCUCAACCUAUUCUCAAACUUUAAAUGGGUAAGAAGUCCGACUCACUUGAUUGGAGCCGGACCCUUCUCUGAAUACGAGUGCCAAGUGGGCCACUUUUGGUAAGCAGAACUGGCGCUGCGGGAUGAACCGAACGUCUGGUUAAGGAGCCAAACACAUUGACGCUCAUGAGAUACCAUGAAAGGUGUUGGUUGAUAUAGACAGCAGGACGGUGGCCAUGGAAGUCGGAAUCCGCUAAGGAGUGUGU